UGGCGAACGGGUGAGUAACACGUGGGUGAUCUGCCCUGCACUUUGGGAUAAGCCUGGGAAACUGGGUCUAAUACCGAAUAUGAUCAUCGGCUUCAUGGUCGGUGGUGGAAAGCUUUUGCGGUGUGGGAUGGGCCCGCGGCCUAUCAGCUUGUUGGUGGGGUAAUGGCCUACCAAGGCGACGACGGGUAGCCGGCCUGAGAGGGUGACCGGCCACACUGGGACUGAGAUACGGCCCAGACUCCUACGGGAGGCAGCAGUGGGGAAUAUUGCACAAUGGGCGCAAGCCUGAUGCAGCGACGCCGCGUGAGGGAUGACGGCCUUCGGGUUGUAAACCUCUUUCAGCACAGACGAAGCGCAAGUGACGGUAUGUGCAGAAGAAGGACCGGCCAACUACGUGCCAGCAGCCGCGGUAAUACGUAGGGUCCGAGCGUUGUCCGGAAUUACUGGGCGUAAAGAGCUCGUAGGUGGUUUGUCGCGUUGUUCGUGAAAACUCACAGCUUAACUGUGGGCGUGCGGGCGAUACGGGCAGACUAGAGUACUGCAGGGGAGACUGGAAUUCCUGGUGUAGCGGUGGAAUGCGCAGAUAUCAGGAGGAACACCGGUGGCGAAGGCGGGUCUCUGGGCAGUAACUGACGCUGAGGAGCGAAAGCGUGGGGAGCGAACAGGAUUAGAUACCCUGGUAGUCCACGCCGUAAACGGUGGGUACUAGGUGUGGGUUUCCUUCCUUGGGAUCCGUGCCGUAGCUAACGCAUUAAGUACCCCGCCUGGGGAGUACGGCCGCAAGGCUAAAACUCAAAGGAAUUGACGGGGGCCCGCACAAGCGGCGGAGCAUGUGGAUUAAUUCGAUGCAACGCGAAGAACCUUACCUGGGUUUGACAUGCACAGGACGCUGGUAGAGAUAUCAGUUCCCUUGUGGCCUGUGUGCAGGUGGUGCAUGGCUGUCGUCAGCUCGUGUCGUGAGAUGUUGGGUUAAGUCCCGCAACGAGCGCAACCCUUGUCCUAUGUUGCCAGCGGGUUAUGCCGGGGACUCGUAGGAGACUGCCGGGGUCAACUCGGAGGAAGGUGGGGAUGACGUCAAGUCAUCAUGCCCCUUAUGUCCAGGGCUUCACACAUGCUACAAUGGCCGGUACAAAGGGCUGCGAUGCCGUGAGGUGGAGCGAAUCCUUUCAAAGCCGGUCUCAGUUCGGAUCGGGGUCUGCAACUCGACCCCGUGAAGUCGGAGUCGCUAGUAAUCGCAGAUCAGCAACGCUGCGGUGAAUACGUUCCCGGGCCU
rnacentral:rRNA from 2 species